AGAAUCAACGCUGGCGGCGUGCCUCAGACAUGCAAGUCGAACGCGAAAGUCCCUUUCGGGGGACGAGUAGAGUGGCGCACGGGUGAGUAACACGUAGGUAAUCUACCUUCGGAUGGGGAAUAACAACCGGAAACGGUUGCUAAUACCGCAUAAUGCAGCGGCACCUAAUGGUGACAGUUGUUAAAGCGGGGGAUCGAAAGACCUCGCGUCUGAAGAGGAGCCUGCGGCGGAUUAGCUAGUUGGUAAGGUAAUGGCUUACCAAGGCGACGAUCCGUAGCCGGCCUGAGAGGGCGUCGGCCACGACUGACACUGACAGUACGGUCAGACUCCUACGGGAGGCAGCAGGUCGGGAAUUUUGGGCUAAGUGGGACGAAAGCCUAGACCCGAGCGAACGCCGCGUAGAAGGAUA
rnacentral:rRNA from 1 species